CCGGUCACCUACCACCUCUUCCGUGUCUCCCCAGCCCCCGGGACCGAGGGCCAGUUUGAGAACCUGCAGUUAGGAAGCGUUGUAACAACAGGUUUCUAGAGACCCCCUGGUUAUCUUUACUCAGGGGGAAACAGAAAGCCCCGGGGGGAGGAUUGCGGUGACCAUGCCCUGGGGAGAGCCAGGCACGUAGCAGGACCUGGGGAAAUGUUAUCAGAGGGACAAGGUGUCAGGGUUGGCGCCAGGCGUUUUGGUAGCAUGAUGAAAACGCAAAUAGCUCUGAAGAGUCUGAGGAGACAACUGAGAAACACAGCUCUGCGUCCCUCAAGAAGGGUUUUCGUGAAGCCUGAAAACCUGGAGGCUCUGGAUUUCUUGAGGGGAGAGACCAUGUCUUAUUUUUCAUCUACCAAGUAUCGCGCUAGGCACCAGGGAAAUCUAUUUGGGGGUUUCUGACGUUGGGUCUGCUUGGUUACCUGUGGUGAUUGAGAAAGCCCAGAAAUAGGUGGGAGGAUAACCUUCAAGUGCCUUUAGAAGUCACUUAACAAUUCUCUGCUGCAUAGGUUGAAGCCAAUGGAAUAGGAGUUACCAAAGCAAUUCAAAGUAGUUAGCAGUUGGCUCAAUGAUCCAGAACUCUUACCCCCAUGGAACUUACCUUAGAGGCUGUGAAGAAGGGAGAAGAGUAGAUCUUCCAUCCACUAUCCUGUGGCAUCCUGCUUCGAGAAAAAUGGACCACUUAUUUCUACAUGAACGGACAUGACAACUAGUGAUGAAAAAAUAAGUUCUACUUGUUAGUCUGGAACAUUUCAGAUACCUAAUAAAU